rnacentral:rRNA from 1 species
UACGUAGGGUGCGAGCGUUGCCCGGAUUUAUUGGGCGUAAAGGGCGCGCAGGCGGCUACGCACGUCCGUUGUGAAAUCGCUCGGCUCAACUGGGCGGGGUCAGCGGAUACGGCGUAGCUGGAGCAAGCUAGGGGGCAAUGGAAUUCCCGGGUGUAGUGGUGGAAUGCGUAGAGAUCCGGAGGAACACCAGCGGCGAAGGCGGCAUCCUGGACUGGUCCUGACACUCAGGAGCGAAAGCGUGGGGAGCGAUCCGG